rfam:Dichomitus squalens LYAD-421 SS1 unplaced genomic scaffold DICSQscaffold_3, whole genome shotgun sequence.
GCCCGCCUAGCUCAAUCGGAUAGAGCGUCAGACUCUUAGGCGGGUUAAAGUCAGGUGAUCUGAAGGCUGCGAGUUCGACCCUCGCGGUGGGCU